GUGCACAUUUCAUUGUCUUUUUUCUUCAUAUCAAGAGAAAAGAUAUUUCUGAUGUGCUAGACAAAUCUUUGGAGGUAAAUUAGCAGCAUGACUUAUUUAGCCAUUGCUGUCAGUCACCUUCGGACAGGA
ensembl:snoRNA